GGAGUUAGCCGGUGCUUCUUCUGCGAGUAACGUCACAGAUGUAAGGUAUUAACUUACACCCUUUCCUCCUCGCUGAAAGUGCUUUACAACCCGAAGGCCUUCUUCACACACGCGGCAUGGCUGCAUCAGGUUUUCCCCCAUUGUGCAAUAUUCCCCACUGCUGCCUCCCGUAGGAGUCUGGGCCGUGUCUCAGUCCCAGUGUGGCUGAUCAUCCUCUCAGACCAGCUAGGGAUCGUCGCCUAGGUGAGCCUUUACCUCACCUACUAGCUAAUCCCACCUGGGCUUAUCCAUCAGCGCAAGGCCCGAAGGUCCCCUGCUUUCCCCCGUAGGGCGUAUGCGGUAUUAGCAGUCGUUUCCAACUGUUAUCCCCCACAAAUGGGCAAAUUCCCAGGCAUUACUCACCCGUCCGCCGCUCGUCAUCUUCAAAAGCAAGCUUUUGAAAUGUUACCGCUCGACUUGCAUGUGUUAGGCCUGCCGCCAGCGUUCAAUCUGAGCCAGGAUCAAACUCUGA
rnacentral:rRNA from 1 species